ACAGUGUCUGGUGGGUAGUUUGACUGGGGCGGUCUCCUCCUAAAGAGUAACGGAGGAGCACGAAGGUUAGCUAAUCCUGGUCGGACAUCAGGAGGUUAGUGCAAAGGCAUAAGCUAGCUUGACUGCGAGCGUGACGGCGCGAGCAGGUGCGAAAGCAGGUCUUAGUGAUCCGGUGGUUCUGAAUGGAAGGGCCAUCGCUCAACGGAUAAAAGGUACUCCGGGGAUAACAGGCUGAUACCGCCCAAGAGUUCAUAUCGACGGCGGUGUUUGGCACCUCGAUGUCGGCUCAUCACAUCCUGGGGCUGAAGUAGGUCCCAAGGGUAUGGCUGUUCGCCAUUUAAAGUGGUACGCGAGCUGGGUUUAGAACGUCGUGAGACAGUUCGGUCCCUAUCUGCCGUGGGCGCUGGAGAAUUGAGGGGGGCUGCUCCUAGUACGAGAGGACCGGAGUGGACGCAUCACUGGUGUUCGGGUUGUCAUGCCAAUGGCACUGCCCGGUAGCUAAAUGCGGAAGAGAUAAGUGCUGAAAGCAUCUAAGCACGAAACUUGCC
rnacentral:rRNA from 1 species